AUAUUUAUGUGUGUACUUAUAUUAAUUUCUACCUAUAUAAAACCAUGUCAUCAUUUUACAUGACAGAGUAGUACCCGAUUGAUUAUCCAUAUGUGUAUAUAGAAUUUAUCACUUUUAUCACUUAUUCCUCCACGAUCUCUCUCCUCAUUCUCUCUCGGUCAUGCUGGAUCCUCUACAUUCAGUUUGUUCAAAAGUCUUGUCAUUGGAGACGAUAGUUAUCAAUAUCGACCGUAUCUCUCGAGUCUCGAAGAAAUAUAAUGCUUGAUAAAUAGCUUCAAGUUAUUAAUAUAACUAUUUUACUAUUUAAAUCCUGGAAAAUUAUGUUUAAUUGUGUCUAAGACAAUUAUUUGGUCGUAAUUGUUGCAAUUGCCGUGCUUCAUAAUUUUGGAGUAAUGCAAUCCCAGCCAGUACAACCAACCUUCUAGUGAUCUAAGAAGAAGAUACGAAGUGGUGCCAUAAAAUAUGCAGACUUGAAAAAGGAAUUCAAUCGUUUACAAUCAUUUUAAUAUCGUAUAACCUUUCAUUAUUCCAUUUUGAAUCUGUUUAUGAAGUAAUAUACAUAGUUGUAAUUA
rnacentral:lncRNA from 1 species